UCCCUCAACAUUGCAGUACAAUAAUCAACAUUAAUAGGUCAAAUACAAAAUGACACGUAAUAGAAGAUGUAGUAUGCUUAGUACACAAUACGAUAUACAGAAUAGAUUGUAAAUGGAUUUGCAGAAUAGAUCAUGAACAAUAGGAUACACAGAACAGAUAAUGAACAAUAGGAUACUCAGAACAGAUAAUGAACAGAGGUGCAGCUAGGUUCAAGGUGCAGCUAGGGUCUAAGGUGCAUGUCUGCGCAGGGAGACAGCUAGGGUCUAAGGUGCAUGUCUGCGCAGGGAGACAGCUAGGGUCUAAGGUGCAUGUCUGCGCAGGGAGACAGCUAGGGUUAGCUGUUCAGCAGUCUGAUGGCCUGGCGGUAGAAGCUGUCUCGGAGCCUGUUCGUCCGAGACCCGAUGCUCCAAUACCGCUCGGCAGAUGGUAACAGUGAAAAGUCUGUGGCUCGAGUCCUU
ensembl:lncRNA